UGGGGAAUAUUGCACAAUGGGCGCAAGCCUGAUGCAGCCAUGCCGCGUGUGUGAAGAAGGCCUUCGGGUUGUAAAGCACUUUCAGCGGGGAGGAAGGCGAUAAGGUUAAUAACCUCAUCGAUUGACGUUACCCGCAGAAGAAGCACCGGCUAACUCCGUGCCAGCAGCCGCGGUAAUACGGAGGGUGCAAGCGUUAAUCGGAAUUACUGGGCGUAAAGCGCACGCAGGCGGUUUGUUAAGUCAGAUGUGAAAUCCCCGGGCUCAACCUGGGAACUGCAUCUGAUACUGGUCAGCUAGAGUCUUGUAGAGGGGGGUAGAAUUCCAUGUGUAGCGGUGAAAUGCGUAGAGAUGUGGAGGAAUACCGGUGGCGAAGGCGGCCCCCUGGACAAAGACUGACGCUCAGGUGCGAAAGCGUGGGGAGCAAACAGG
rnacentral:rRNA from 1 species